GCACAAGCGGUGGAGCAUGUGGUUUAAUUCGACGCAACGCGAAGAACCUUACCCAGACUUGACAUGCACCGGACUGGUGUGGAAACACACCUUCCCUUCGGGGCCGGUGCACAGGUGCUGCAUGGCUGUCGUCAGCUCGUGUCGUGAGAUGUUGGGUUAAGUCCCGCAACGAGCGCAACCCUUGUCCUUAGUUGCUAACGGGUAAUGCUGAGCACUCUAAGGAGACUGCCGGUGAUAAACCGGAGGAAGGUGGGGAUGGCGUCAAGUCCUCAUGGCCCUUACGUCUGGGGCUACACACGUGCUACAAUGGUCGGUACAAAGGGUUCCGAUACCGCGAGGUGGAGGCAAUCCCAAAAAACCGGUCUCAGUUCGGAUUGCAGUCUGCAACUCGACUGCAUGAAGUCGGAAUCGCUAGUAAUCGCAGAUCAGCAUUGCUGCGGUGAAUACGUUCCCGGGC
rnacentral:rRNA from 1 species